UACGGAGGGAGCUAGCGUUAUUCGGAAUUACUGGGCGUAAAGCGCACGUAGGCGGCUUUCCAAGUCAGUGGUGAAAGCCCGGAGCUCAACUCCGGAAAUGCCCAUUGAAAACUGUGAAGCUUGAGAACGAGAGAGGUGAGUGGAAUUCCCAGUGUAGAGGUGAAAAUUCGUAGAUAUUGGGAAGAACACCAGUGGCGAAGGCGGCUCACUGGCUCGUAACUGACGCUCAUGCACGACAGCGUGGGGAGUCAAACAGG
rnacentral:rRNA from 1 species